rnacentral:rRNA from 1 species
AAUCAACGCUGGCGGCGUGCCUAACACAUGCAAGUCGAACGCGAAAGUGGAGCAAUCUAUGAGUAGAGUGGCAAACGGGUGAGUAACGCGUGGGCGACCUGCCCUUGAGUGGGGGAUAACAUUCCGAAAGGGAUGCUAAUACCGCAUAACAUCCUUCGUUUAGAUACGAGGUGAUCAAAGCUGGGAGCAAUCCUGGCGCUUGAAGAGGGGCCCGCGUCCGAUAGCUAGUUGGUGGGGUAACGGCCUACCAAGGCUCCGAUCGGUAUCCGGCCUGAGAGGGCGGACGGACACACUGGAACUGAGACACGGUCCAGACUCCUACGGGAGGCAGCAGUGGGGAAUUGUUCGCAAUGGGCGCAAGCCUGACGACGCAACGCCGCG